UGAGUAUCGUGAGGAUAAGUCCAUUGUGAGGUGCCAGCUUCCGCCGAUGAAUUUUUCUGCCGUCGUUGACUUGCGGCGGACGUGGGAGGCAAAGGAAGGUGAUGGGCUGUCACGGGGUAAUGCGGCGGUGGCGGUUCCUUCUUGGGAUAGAGUGGUAUAUGAAGCGAUAUUGGAUUUUAACACAGCCGUUGUGUUCGUUAAAGGAUUGAAUCUUCGUCCACACGAGGACUCAGAUACAACCCAAUUUAGGUGCCACUUUAGUUUAACCAACUUUGAUAAGGGUGAAGGAUUUGUGUUCACUACCGAAGCAACCGCGGCUGCACAAGAGGUUCUUAGGUGUUUGUUGCCCCGAAGUGUUCGGAGGAAUCCAGAGAAGGCUAUGGGGAUUCGAGUGACAGUUAGCCGUGUUGAUGCUGAUGAAAACGCCAUUGAUGGACCUCUGCCUUCUGUAGCCAAAGUUUAUGGUACAAAGACGUAUAAGCGGAGGAGUUACAGUGGGAAAAAGUAUGAGCUCUGUGCUUGUACAAUGCUGUGGAACCAAGCCUCCUUUCUUCGGGAGUGGAUUGUCUACCAUGCUUGGCUGGGGGUAGAGCGAUGGUUCAUCUAUGACAACAAUAGCGACGAUGAGAUUCAGGAGGUAAUUGAUGAGCUUAAUUUGCAGAACUACAAUGUCAGUAGGCAUGCUUGGCCGUGGACUAAAGCACAGGAGGCUGGUUUUUCACAUUGUGCUUUGCGAGCAAGGAGUGAAUGCAAGUGGCUGGGAUUAUUCUUUGACGUGGACGAGUUCUUUUACUUCCCUCGUCACCGUGGACAAGACAUGCAGGGUCAAAAUUCACUACGAACUCUGGUUGCGAAUUACACGAAUUCACCAAUAUAUGCAGAAAUUAGAACAAUUUGUCACAGCUUCGGACCAUCUGGUUUGACCUCAGCUCCAUCGCAGGGAGUAACUGUUGGGUAUACUUGCAGGCUUCAAGCUCCUGAACGGCACAAAUCU
rnacentral:misc_RNA from 1 species